UUUCCGUAGGUGAACCUGCGGAAGGAUCAUUAUCGAAAAGCAAUCCGGGGGGGAGACCACCGAGCGAAGGUUGGUAGAUCGUAGGGAUUGUCGCUGGCCUUUGGUAACGAAGGCAUGUGCACGUUCCGAGUUCUCCUUAGUCCUCCUUUGCCUUUCCUUUGGAAGACCCUUUCUUCACACCCGUGCACACAUUGUAGGUCUCCGCGAGGGGAUCUAUGUCUUCACAAAACGCUACGUAUGUCCAGGAAUGUAUCUAAAGCGUCGAACGGCUCGGCUCCAUGCCCGGUCGCCGACGGUAAAGAACCAUAAUACAACUUUCAGCAACGGAUCUCUUGGCUCUC
rnacentral:misc_RNA from 1 species